rnacentral:sRNA from 1 species
GCCAGGUAUGGUGGCACACACCUGUAAUCCCAGCAGCUUGGGAGGCUGAGGCAGGAGGAUCUCGAGUUCAAAAUCAGCCUCAGCAAAAGUGAGACACUAAGCAACUUAGUGAGACCCUGUCUCUA